rnacentral:rRNA from 1 species
AUACGUAGGGUGCAAGCGUUAAUCGGAAUUACUGGGCGUAAAGCGUGCGCAGGCGGUUUUGUAAGACAGUGGUGAAAUCCCCGGGCUCAACCUGGGAACUGCCAUUGUGACUGCAAGGCUGGAGUGUGGCAGAGGGGGAUGGAAUUCCGCGUGGAGCAGUGAAAUGCGUAGAUAUGCGGAGGAACACCGAUGGCGAAGGCAAUCCCCUGGGCCUGCACUGACGCUCAUGCACGAAAGCGUGGGGAGCAAACAGGAUUAGAUACCCUGGUAGUCCACGCCCUAAACGAUGUCAACUGGUUGUUGGGGAUUUAUUUUCUCAGUAACGAAGCUAACGCGUGAAGUUGACCGCCUGGGGAGUACGGCCGCAAGGUUAAAACUCAAAUGAAUUGACGGGG